GAUGUAAACUGUUUUAGGGCAUGGACUAUCUUCUUAUGUAUUUGCCAGGCACACCACCAUAAUGGGGCCUCAACAGUGAUGGUUCCUUUGGAUGAUAAUUCAAUACAAAUAGAAAAAGGAGGCCAUAAAAUAUCACAUAUGGACAUUGUUCAGUACACACCAUCCAGCAACUGAAAGGAGAAGCAGGGAUGCUCCUAGCACACAGAUGAAGCUGAGCAUUGCUGCAGGAACCAAGGGGCUGUUUAGUCAGAGAAGAAGGAACUGCCCAAGACGUGGAAUGAUCAAGAUUCAUUCUGUAACAGACCAUGUUUGCCUAAAGAAUACAAUCUUACCACAAGAGGGGUGGAGGAAAAGCUAAAGGAUCUACAAUGACAGAGUUCCAUUAAAAUCCUUCCUGAAAGGGCCUCAAGACACCCUGCCUCCAUGAUCUACUCCCCACCAACCAUCCUUAUAUCUGCCACAAAACAUUCUCCUCCGGUCCUGCAUCAUUUGCGUCACCCUCAAGCCAGGAGAAGAGUAGCUGAUUCACUCUCAACAGAAAAAAUGACA